rnacentral:rRNA from 1 species
GGGGGGCUUACCAUGCAGUCGACGGCAGCACGGGUGCUUGCACCUGGUGGCGAGUGGCGAACGGGUGAGUAAUACAUCGGAACAUGUCCUGUAGUGGGGGAUAGCCCGGCGAAAGCCGGAUUAAUACCGCAUACGAUCUACGGAAGAAAGCGGGGGACCUUCGGGCCUCGCGCUAUAGGGUUGGCCGAUGGCUGAUUAGCUAGUUGGUGGGGUAAAGGCCUACCAAGGCGACGAUCAGUAGCUGGUCUGAGAGGACGACCAGCCACACUGGGACUGAGACACGGCCCAGACUCCUACGGGAGGCAGCAGUGGGGAAUUUUGGACAAUGGGCGAAAGCCUGAUCCAGCAAUGCCGCGUGUGUGAAGAAGGCCUUCGGGUUGUAAAGCACUUUUGUCCGGAAAGAAAUCCUGAGGGCUAAUAUCCUUCGGGGAUGACGGUACCGGAAGAAUAAGCACCGGCUAACUACGUGCCAGCAGCCGCGGUAAUACGUAGGGUGCGAGCGUUAAUCGGAAUUACUGGGCGUAAAGCGUGCGCAGGCGGUUUGCUAAGACCGAUGUGAAAUCCCCGGGCUCAACCUGGGAACUGCAUUGGUGACUGGCAGGCUAGAGUAUGGCAGAGGGGGGUAGAAUUCCACGUGUAGCAGUGAAAUGCGUAGAGAUGUGGAGGAAUACCGAUGGCGAAGGCAGCCCCCUGGGCCAAUACUGACGCUCAUGCACGAAAGCGUGGGGAGCAAAAAGGAUUAGAUACCCUGGUAGUCCACGCCCUAAACGAUGUCAACUAGUUGUUGGGGAUUCAUUUCCUUAGUAACGUAGCUAACGCGUGAAGUUGACCGCCUGGGGAGUACGGUCGCAAGAUUAAAACUCAAAGGAAUUGACGGGGACCCGCACAAGCGGUGGAUGAUGUGGAUUAAUUCGAUGCAACGCGAAAAACCUUACCUACCCUUGACAUGGUCGGAAUCCUGAGGAGACUCGGGAGUGCUCGAAAGAGAACCGAUACACAGGUGCUGCAUGGCUGUCGUCAGCUCGUGUCGUGAGAUGUUGGGUUAAGUCCCGCAACGAGCGCAACCCUUGUCCUUAGUUGCUACGCAAGAGCACUCUAAGGAGACUGCCGGUGACAAACCGGAAGAAAGGUGGGGAUGACGUCAAGUCCUCAUGGGCCCUUAUUGGGUAGGGCUUCCCCCCGUCAUUACAAUGGGUCGGAACCAAAGGGUCCCCCA